rnacentral:rRNA from 1 species
GACGAACGCUGGCGGCGUGCCUAAUACAUGCAAGUCGAGCGCAGGAAACUGACGGAACUCUUCGGAGGGAAGGCAGUGGAAUGAGCGGCGGACGGGUGAGUAACACGUAAGGAACCUGCCUCAAGGAUUGGGAUAACUCCGAGAAAUCGGAGCUAAUACCGGAUAGUUCAUCGGACCGCAUGGUCCGUUGAUGAAAGGCGCUUCGGCGUCACCUUGAGAUGGCCUUGCGGUGCAUUAGCUAGUUGGUGGGGUAACGGCCCACCAAGGCGACGAUGACUAGCCGGACUGAGAGGGUGAUCGGCCACACUGGGACUGAGACACGGCCCAGACUCCUACGGGAGGCAGCAGUAGGGAAUCUUCCAAAAUGGACGAAAGUCUGAUGGAGCAACGCCGCGUGAGUGAUGAAGGUUUUCGGAUCGUAAAACUCUGUUGUAAGGGAAGAACACGUACGAGAGGAAAUGCUCGUACCUUGACGGUACCUUACGAGAAAGCCACGGCUAACUACGUGCCAGCAGCCGCCGUAAAAC